rnacentral:rRNA from 1 species
CCUGGUGUAGCGGUGGAAUGCGCAGAUAUCAGGAGGAACACCGAUGGCGAAGGCAGAUCUCUGGGCCGUAACUGACGCUGAGGAGCGAAAGCGUGGGGAGCGAACAGGAUUAGAUACCCUGGUAGUCCACGCCGUAAACGGUGGGAACUAGAUGUGGGGUCCGUUCCACGGAUUCCGUGUCGCAGCUAACGCAUUAAGUUCCCCGCCUGGGGAGUACGGCCGCAAGGCUAAAACUCAAAGGAAUUGACGGGGGCCCGCACAAGCGGCGGAGCAUGCGGAUUAAUUCGAUGCAACGCGAAGAACCUUACCAAGGCUUGACAUAUAGAGGAAAAGUGCAGAGAUGCACUCCCCGCAAGGUCUCUAUACAGGUGGUGCAUGGUUGUCGUCAGCUCGUGUCGUGAGAUGUUGGGUUAAGUCCCGCAACGAGCGCAACCCUCGUCCUAUGUUGCCAGCACGUAAUGGUGGGAACUCAUGGGAUACUGCCGGGGUCAACUCGGAGGAAGGUGGGGAUGACGUCAAAUCAUCAUGCCCCUUAUGUCUUGGGCUUCACGCAUGCUACAAUGGCCGGUACAGAGGGCAGCAAUACCGCAAGGUGGAGCGAAUCCCAGAAAGCCGGUCUCAGUUCGGAUUGAGGUCUGCAACUCGACCUCAUGAAGUCGGAGUCGCUAGUAAUCGCGAAUCAGCAACGUCGCGGUGAAUACGUUCCCGGGCCUUGUACACACCGCCCGUCAAGUCAUGAAAGUCGGUAACACCCGAAGCCGGUGGCCCAACCCUUGUGGAGGGAGCCGUCGAAGGUGGGAUCGGUGAUUAGGACUAAGUCGUAACAAGGUAGCCGUACCGGAAGGUGCGGCUG